rnacentral:snRNA from 13 species
GGGAAACACCUUUAUCAGGAAGGUGGUUUUCCCAGGGUAAAACUCAUCCCUUGCAGUUCGAGUGUGCUGACCCCUGUGAUUUCCACAGAUGCAAAGGUAA